UACGAGUCCAUCUUCCUUACUAUUGCCAAUAGCAAUACAGUGUUCUGAUCAUCAUGCACUUUAGGAUGUGUUUCUUCUCUCAGUUUUCAUUCUUCUUGCAGGUAACUAUCAGCGGAGAGCUCUCUGGGUGCUACCAGUCAAGGCGUUAUGAUUUAUGUAUAGCACUUAGCAUCUUUUUUGAAGUAUGUUCAUAAUUUCUCCCAAGCCUGAGAGCUUGAGUUUUGAACUGUAAUUCUAGAGGGUAAAGUCUGCCUAACUCUCUGACAAAAUAAACCUCUGUAACGGAAGUUUGAUUAGCAGUGGCUCCAUGAUUGCCUCUAACCACAACUGGGCGCUAUUUGUUCCUGAAAAGCAAAUGUACUUGUUGCUUCUCAUCACAGCUGUAAUGUGGUAGCAGUGCAGAGUGAUCAGCUGAAUUGAGGUCUGGGGUCAUUCAUCAUCGAGACAAGAAUCAAAUAUUUGAGCUGCAAGACACUGCUCCAACUCAUCAGCCACAAGCAGCAAAGAAAAAAAAGAGGAAACAAGAAGGAUCUGCUGCUGAGAGGCAUCACAUCACGGGUAGCUGCAAGUUAUCAGCUCAGGUCCCACGUACAAGGUGCUGUAACAGGAACUGGCCGAUCUGCUGCAGAGCCUACAUGCUAACAGCCCACAGCCCUCCUGGCUCCAAGCUCUCUGAGUGGAGUGAUGAGGAAAGAGACAGCAUCCUUCUUCCUUUCUCCUGAUUUCUUUCUGGUGACUUUUGGGAGCCUGAAGCACUAUUUUUCAAAGAGAUCAGCAUGAUCAUACUCAUUCUGCCAAGUAAGCAACCAGACCAAUCCAGUUUCUGACUUCUGUCUGUUCCAAUUAUCCAAAUCCACUGACCACAGACCGGUGACUGCACUUUGCUAUCCACUGAACAGGGAGCAUCAUCCUGUACUUUAGCUCUGGUUGGUGUAGUUACAUAUGUUCUAUUGUUACACAAUACAGCCCAGCUCCCUAUUAUACUAGAAUUUUAACUGUGUAUAAUGUAUUACAUCAUGUAAUCUCAGUUUACGCCCUGCAUGAUUAUUUCCUCUAUUAAGGAUACAGUGAAGAUGCUUUCAUUGAGAAGUGUCGUAUUCAAACACAUUAUAUUUUCUCUCCAGUGAAAAUUUAAAACCCUGACUUUGUGUUUCUUGUUGGCACACCUGCACUUCCCUGUGGAAUAUUACUGUUGAUCAAGAAUUUUAACAAGAUUGAAUAAGAGGUUAGAGGUACAAAUGGCAAAGUGGCAGUAUUUUGUAAAACUGCUGUGAUUUUGCCAGUGUUUUCUUUAAGUGAAAAAAAGUCUGAUAAAAAUAUUUUUUAAAAAUAUAAUCUUUAAAACAUUUUCAGAGUGAUGAAUCUUGGUUUUUGUUUUGAAAAUGACUUUUCACCUAGAAUGUUUAACCUUGAAGAAGAUUGAAUUAUAUAUAUACACAUGUGUAUAAAUCUUCUACAACAGAUAAUUGUUGUACAUCAACUGAGCCAAAACAUUUUUCUCCUGAAUUUUCUUGCAUGGAAAAUUGUGGAAUGUCAGUGUUUCUUUGCAGACUGGAAAUACGAUUUUUAAAUACCAUUCAUGUACCCUAUAGGUCAUCUCAUUAAAGGUCCUUCGUCUUCUGUAUCAGUUUUGAGAUUCAAAAUUAGGGAAAUCCUUGAUAUGUCAAUUCAUAAUAGGUGUAGUUUAACAACUCCUUGAGAUAGUUGGGAACUCUGAGCUCAAGCUUCUCCAAAAUUCAAAGAUGUUCUAAACUUUGGUUACAUUUGGAACCUCUCUCCAAUAAAUAUUAAUGAGGACUCUUUCAGGAAUGGUAGACAUAAAGAGAUCUGUAAAAGGCAAUCCCAUUUUGGAUCAUCUCAGAUCAGAAAGAACAAUACAUCUUACUCAGCAUCUUAAUAUAUAUUUUUGCAAAUUAAAGAGUGAAUUAGGACAAGGUAACUAAUUGAAUCCCAAAAUUUAGUGAUCUUCUCCUCAUCCGUUAAUUAGUUUUUAAGGCCUUGAACACCUAGAAGAGCCAUCAUGGUUAUUUUUCAGAUGAGAUUAACUAAGACUGUAGCAGAAUUACUGCCAGUGAAUUUAGUCGUAUUCAUAACAACCAAUUCUGUUUAUAAAAUGUUGCAUGAACACUCCAUAUUUUGCUUUGUGUGAAUGCAUUUUCUUAGUACAACUAAACCUGACAGGAUUGCAAAGUUCAAAUCCAGAACUUCAGCGAGGGGUUCAAUCUGCUGUUCUGACCCCAGACACUCAUGCUCAAAUUUCUGCAGGUCUGCAGGUCUGGAAAUUAUGUACUGCUCUGAGCUCAUCUUCACAUUAUGUCAUCCUACAAACAUGGUGAAUGAAGUCCAAAUCAACCCUGAACCCAGAGAAACACCUUUAGCAGGAUGAAUUUUGAUAUUAUCUAGGAUGUACAGAGGCAUAAAGUACAUUUAAAUAAAAUGAACAGCAGUUCUUCAAGCAAAAAUCCUCUCUGAGAUUUGAUUCUAUCCGAAGAGCACAGGAAACCACAAAACUGGCAGCAAUCAACUGCAGUGUAAACACAUAGAAUUCAAAAAUAGAGCAACAAAACUUCAGAGAACAUUGUGUCUCUGCUGCUGAAAGCAGAGUUCUGUCAGGCACACGGCAUAUCAAGAGGGAGGUUAAAUACUUGGAAAAGUCUUUGGCAAAUAGAGCAUUUCAUCUGAAUACCACUAAGAAGUUAGGAAUCCUGAUAUUGAUUUCAGCGUAUAACAUAUUACUCAAAGUGGGAGAUGAGUCCAUUCAAGCUAGAAUAAUACAACUAUAACUAGAGGUCACUGGAAACACAGAUUCAGACUGCACUCUUUGUGAGAAUGAGAACUACGGGCACCUGAAUGAUUCCUCACACAUAAUACAUUCAUAUUUUAGCAAAGGGUUACCUUUUAAUCCUUUUUAUUGUUUCUGAAAGAUUUCAAGGUACCAUAAUAAAAGAAAAACUUAAACAACUAUAGAAGUAUGCUGGGCAGAACACCAUAUUUGUGCAUUCACAGGAAGCUGCAGACAAGCCUGCCUACCGCAGCAGCCCUUAGUGCUGUUUUUUCCAUACAGCUUGAUCACUUUGAAGUACAAACUGGGUGUUGUGUGGUUUUGCUAUUACUCGGGGACACAUCCUGACUUCAUUACAGUUUUAGCAAACAUAGGAUCUUAGUUGAGAAUCAGGCCACAACUGUUUAAAGAAGCUUGUCUGUCAAAAAGGAUCCUAUCCUUCCACUUUUUUAUCUUGCUAUUACUAUGUCAGCUAUCAUAACUGAAAUAUACUAAAGAAUUAAUUUUCAAUCUCUCCCUCUCACGUUUUCUCUUGAACAGUCUUGUUCCAGGUGGUCCACCCCAUUUCUCAAGUUGAUUGUCACUUUGUCGCUCUUCCCUGUCCCUGAACACAAGCUCCCAAGAAGUCAUUUUCUUGGAGUACAGUGUUAUCCUUUAUGAUUAAAGAAUAUCAGAAUAUGUUCUUCUAGACUUUUAUCUCGCCUAAAUUUGGCUGCCUA
rnacentral:lncRNA from 1 species